AUACAUCAAAUAGUUUUUAAUUUGACCAGGCUGCCCAUUAAUUUAGCUCUGAAAAAGUAAAGUGGCAUUUCAUUUUAAGCUGCUAUAUUUUACAGCAUUGAAAAGCAUAGGUAUUAGGUAGCUUCUCAAAAUGUUGCUCUGUGGAACAAUGGCAUUUAGCAGACAGAGCAGAGUCCACCAUCUUGCCCAGACUCACAUAGAUGGGUCUCGUUUAAGAAUGCUAUGCUCAUUCUCAAUAGCUGGCACUUAGAGACAAAAGUACUCCUGACCUGAGUUUCUUAACCACCAGUUCGGACUUCUCACUGAAAACCCAUCUUCUCGGCCACAUUUUACAGAGCCAAUGAGACACGCCAGCAAUAGCCCUGUGUGUAACUGAGCUUAGAGCAGCAGGUCUGUGUGAUGGUGGUGGCAGGCGCUAUUAUCAUAUAUAUACAUCCCAGGUAUAUAUACAUCCACCUUUUUAAAAUAGCAACUUGAAAUACACAAUGAAGAGUACAAUAUACUCAGAACUGAGUUUUAAGCAAUCUGGUAUCCUGAAUGAUUUA